rnacentral:rRNA from 1 species
AGAGUUUGAUCCUGGCUCAGGACGAACGCUGGCGGCGUGCUUAACACAUGCAAGUCGAACGGAAAGGCCCUUCGGGGUACUCGAGUGGCGAACGGGUGAGUAACACGUGGGUGAUCUGCCCUGCACUCUGGGAUAAGCCUGGGAAACUGGGUCUAAUACCGGAUAGGACCACACACUUCAUGGUGAGUGGUGCAAAGCUUUUGCGGUGUGGGAUGAGCCCGCGGCCUAUCAGCUUGUUGGUGGGGUAAUGGCCCACCAAGGCGACGACGGGUAGCCGGCCUGAGAGGGUGACCGGCCACACUGGGACUGAGAUACGGCCCAGACUCCUACGGGAGGCAGCAGUGGGGAAUAUUGCACAAUGGGCGCAAGCCUGAUGCAGCGACGCCGCGUGAGGGAUGACGGCCUUCGGGUUGUAAACCUCUUUCAGUAGGGACGAAGCGAAAGUGACGGUACCUACAGAAGAAGGACCGGCCAACUACGUGCCAGCAGCCGCGGUAAUACGUAGGGUCCGAGCGUUGUCCGGAAUUACUGGGCGUAAAGAGCUCGUAGGUGGUUUGUCGCGUUGUUCGUGAAAACUCACAGCUUAACUGUGGGCGUGCGGGCGAUACGGGCAGACUAGAGUACUGCAGGGGAGACUGGAAUUCCUGGUGUAGCGGUGGAAUGCGCAGAUAUCAGGAGGAACACCGGUGGCGAAGGCGGGUCUCUGGGCAGUAACCGACGCUGAGGAGCGAAAGCGUGGGUAGCGAACAGGAUUAGAUACCCUGGUAGUCCAA